AACUUUUGGCAACGGAGCUCUUGGCUCUCGCAUCGAUGAAGACCGCAGCGAAAUGCGAUAAGUGAUGUGAAUUGCAGAAUUCAGUGAAUCAUCGAAUCUUUGAACGCACCUUGCGCUCCUUGGUAUUCCGAGCAGCAUGCCUGUUUGAGUGUCUUGAAGUCAUCAACCCCUCUCGUUUCGUGCGUGGAGAAGGUUGGACGUGGGGGCUUGCGGUCGUGAGGCCGCUCCCCUCAAAUGCUUCGGUCGGGCCUGUGGGUCGGACUCGGUUGGGCGUUGUACCAUCCUCGCUCUCCUCCGAGAACUUCCCCGUCGAUAGAGCCCUUCCCCGGCCUCCUAUGGAGCGGUGGCCAAAAUAAACACUUUGAAAUCUGACCUCAAAUCAGGUAGGACUACCCGCUGAACUUAAGCAUAUCAAUAAGCGGAGGCU
rnacentral:misc_RNA from 1 species